rnacentral:rRNA from 1 species
GACAGAGGAGCCAAGCGUUGUCCGGAUUGACUGGGCGUAAAGCGCACGCAGGCGGACGCGCGCGUGGGGUGUGAAAUCUGGCCGCUUAACGGCCAGGCGCCAUCCCAUACGGCGCGUCUGGAGUGAUGCAGAGGUCGAUGGAAUUGCCGGUGUAGUGGUGAAAUGCGUAGAGAUCGGCAGGAACACCCAGGGGGAAACCAGUGGACUGGGCAUGUGCUGACGCUCAGGUGCGAAAGCGUGGGGAGCGAACCGG